rnacentral:lncRNA from 1 species
UUUGCAACUAUAAAUAUGACUGCUUAUAUUUGUAAUCUAAUUAGAAGUAUUACAUUUAAUUAGUUUUUACAAUGACCAAUCUUGAAACUACUACAUACAUGUAUGAUGAUGAGAUCAUCAGUCUCUAGGACACAUUACAAAAAAUUAAAUACAGUAAAAUAAUUAAAAGAACCAUAAGAUCUAUGACUCAACGUACAAUAACUAUAUAAUAACGUUAAAAAAAAUAGUAAGAAGCAAAAAAUCCAAGAGAAGAAAAAAUAAUGAAAGUAUAUGAAUAUAGAUAAAUAUGGAUGAUGAUGAUGAUGAUAAUGAGGUAGCUCAUUAAUUAAUGUCCUCGGCCUUUUUUGCUGGGUCCAGAAGCUAGUCUAAAAGCCAAGCUACGAUUUGAAGGACGAGUUCUGAUGAUGCUCAACUUUGAAGAAGAAGAAGAAGAAGAGGCUUCUCCUUUAACGCCUUCACGAUUCUCAACUACUUGCGUCUUUAACUCCUCCGAUCGAAGAACUCGGCUCUGCACAAUGCACAACUGUGAUGAGACCACAAGCAUUAUGAUGACCAACACCAUCCAUAUGCUCUUCUUCAUCGCCAUGUAAUAAUCUACCUGAGUAAUAAUAUAUAAUAAUAAUGUAAAAACUUAUGUACGUUCCUUUU